AUUAAGGUCCUCUGGAUUGUAAACUUCUUUUAUAUGGGACGAAAAAAGGUCUUUCUAGAUCACUUGACGGUACCAUAUGAAUAAGCACCGGCUAACUCCGUGCCAGCAGCCGCGGUAAUACGGAGGGUGCAAGCGUUAUCCGGAUUCACUGGGUUUAAAGGGUGCGUAGGCGGGUAGGUAAGUCAGUGGUGAAAUCCUGGAGCUCAACUCCAGAACUGCCAUUGAUACUAUCUGUCUUGAAUAUUGUGGAGGUAAGCGGAAUAUGUCAUGUAGCGGUGAAAUGCUUAGAUAUGACAUAGAACACCCAUUGCGAAGGCAGCUUACUACGCAUAUAUUGACGC
rnacentral:rRNA from 1 species